rnacentral:rRNA from 1 species
AGCUCCAAUAGCGUGUAUUAAAGUUGUUGCAGUUAAAAAGCUCGUAGUUGAAAUUCCGGCGGUUUCCGCCUGUCUGGGAGGGCUACGGAUACUGUAAAAAGUUUCUGUAGUACGAACAGACUUUUACUGUGAACAAAAUAAAGUGCUCAAAGCAGGCUUUUGCUUGAAUAAUCUAGCAUGGAAUAAUAAAACACGACUUUAUUCUUUUAUUGGUUACUGGAUAAGGUAAUGAUUAACAGAAACAGUUGGGGGCAUUCGUAUUUAAUAGUCAGAGGUGGAAUUCUUAGAUUUAUUAAAGACGAACUAAUGCGAAAGCAUUUGCCAAGGAUGUUUUCA